AACUUGACCUCGAAUCGAGUAGGACUACCCGCUGAACUUAAGCAUAUCAAUAAGCGGAGGAAAAGAAACUAACAAGGAUUCCCCUAGUAAC
rnacentral:rRNA from 1 species